rnacentral:tRNA from 1 species
CAAAUUAAAGCUUAUAUUAAGCAUUUUAUUUACAUUAAAAAGUUGACUGUGUAAUUCAGUU